AUUGAAGCAAUCCACCAUCUCACUGGGAGAAGAAAGAAAUGCAUUUCCUAUCAGUGUUGGAUAAACUUAUAUACAUACUUUUGUAUACAUUCCUGCCUCCAGAAAGCUCUGUUCAUGGCGUUACGUUUCUCCGGGCGGUGCAGCUCUACGUGUGUGAUGGACUCUGCUGGGUGACUGAUGGCGAGGGUGGUGUAAGGGGAGGGGGCACCGCCUGAGGACGACAUGGCCCUGACCACAGCCUGACUGGGCAGCCAGCACCUCCUGUCUGAGAGGAAAGAGACAGAA